rnacentral:rRNA from 1 species
CCUACGGGAGGCAGCAGUAGGGAAUAUUGCUCAAUGGGGGAAACCCUGAAGCAGCAACGCCGCGUGGAGGAUGAAGGUUUUCGGAUUGUAAACCUCUUUUGUUAGAGAAGAUAAUGACGGUAUCUAACGAAUAAGCACAGGCUAAUACCGUGCCAGCAGCCGCGGUAAUAUGGAGGCUGCAAGCGUUAUUCGGAAUCAUUGGGCGUAAAGAGGGCUUAGGCGGGAUAGUAAGUCAGAUGUGAAAUCCUAAGGCUUAACCAUAGAACUGCAUUUGAAACUGUUAUGCUAGAGAGUAGGAGAGGGAGGUGGAAUUCUUGGUGUAGGGGUGAAAUCCGUAGAGAUCAAGAAGAAUACUCAUUGCGAAGGCAACCUGCUAGGACAUAACUGACGCUGAUGCACGAAAGCGUGGGGAGCAAACAGGAUUAGAUACCCCUGUAGUC